rnacentral:rRNA from 1 species
UACGUAGGGUGCAAGCGUUGUCCGGAAUUAUUGGGCGUAAAGAGCUCAUAGGCGGUUUGUCGCGUCUGCUGUGAAAACUCGGGGCUUAACCCCGGGCCUGCAGUGGGGUACGGGCAGACUAGAGUGCGGUAGGGGAGACUGGAAUUCCUGGUGUAGCGGUGAAAUGCGCAGAUAUCAGGAGGAACACCGGUGGCGAAGGCGGGUCUCUGGGCCGAUACUGACGCUGAGGAGCGAAAGCGUGGGGAGCGAACAGG